CUUUAAUCUUUCAAAUUGCAUUUGACAAUUCAACAAAAUUUUUUUAUUUGAAUAAAAAGAAUUUAACAAUCACAAAUGCAUCAGCAAGCUUAGCUUGGUGAUAAUUGCUUCUUUGAAUCUCCUUUACCCUCUUUUACAAUAAUAAUAAUAAAAAAACACACACAAAAAAAUAGCUAAUAAAAAGAAUAAACAAAUAUCAAAAUGGUUUAGAUGGCAGUUUCUCAUUGGACAGGAAGUAUUUGAUAAGCUGAAGAGACUGCCUGGGUUUAAAAGUUGGAACUUGGUGACCAGCCCCUCUAAUUGUUACAAACACAAGUCCAUCAUACACAAUUGUCCAUCCACCAACCUGUUUCUUGAAGUACCAAGGAGACCAUUCUUCAAUAGUUUUUAACCCAAGUUUGUUUAAUGUGUAUCUGGUUGCAGUUACUGGAAUUCUUCCAUCUGUAUCUCCACUGUAGACCCAUAUGCGAAUGCCUCCAGCUAUUAGCUUUUUUAAUAUGGGAAGAAUUGAUGCUGGAGAGUCAUCCCAAAAGGUUAUAUUAUCACUGCAGUGCGUCCAUGGAUAUGGAAUUUUUGUUAAAUUAGCAUGUAGAGCUUCUUGAACAUCAGGCCUAUUCAAAUAAAUCUCAGUAUAGUCUGAUGCACAAGGAUCAUAGCCUGCAGGUUUUUUGUGCCAACCUUCAAUUUUGGAAAAAAUUUGAGGAGCAAUGCCUUGGAUAACAGGGAGUUGUCUGUCAAUACUGAAGUUGCUUUUGACACAUUUUGGAGCGUACAAGCUGUACAUGUCAAUGAUCUUGUACACAGCAAAGUAAUCAUUGAGGGCAUCGUUGCAGUCCCUGGCUAGAUGUUUCUGGUUGAAGUUGCAUUUGCUCUUAACUUCACGGUACACUCUAUCUGAUAUUACAGCAUGAUCCCAUGCAUAAUCUAUCAUCCCUGUUUGAUCUGUCUCAUCAUCUAAUAAUGCAUUCCCAAUCACAAAACCCUUAAAAUUGAUGUAAUGCUUGUUGGAAGCUUUCUUAUUACUAUCAUAAAUGACUUCCGCAAGCUGUGGAACGUAGUGCCCUGCAUAGCUUUCUCCUGCAAUGUAAAAGUCAUAGGACUUGAACUGUGGAAAUCUUUGAAACCAGUUCACCAGAAAUGUGAAUGAAUCUUGGGCUGUAAUUUUGUCUCCCAGUUGACCGAUGUCACUACUGGUAUUGGUGUAGGAGAAUCCAACUCCAACAGGAGACUCCACAAACAAUAGAUUAGCAGCUUUGUUCCAUGAGUUAGGGUUGAGCUUCAGCUUUGGUUGACGUUUUCGAGGGAAGAAAGGUCCUAACUCUUCUGCUUCUCCAUAUCCAACUGAAGAGCAUCCUGGGCCUCCAUUGAGCCAAAGAAGAAGAGGCUUUUCUUGAGGUUUUUCUGUGGCUUCAAAGAACCAAUAAAACAGUGCUCUUCCAUGAGAUACAUUGACAGUAACAUAGCCUGCAUAUUGUUUAAAGCUCACUUCCGGCUGGCCAGGCAAUCUAACAACUCGAUCCGCCUCUUGCUGAGCUGCAAUAUCUUCGGUAAACUCACAUAUCACCCUACCCAAAAUAAUCAAGAAAAGAAGAGGAAAAACAAGUAGAAGAUGAAGAAGAUUUAAAGAUAAUCUACAGAAGGCCAUUGUUAAUUAGCUUAGCUAGUCAGAAAGCACUGGAAAAAAAAU
rnacentral:misc_RNA from 1 species